GGGAAACUGACUCUACUCUGUGAUGCCAAGACAGAUGGGAGUUUCCUUGUACACCACUUUCUCUCCUUCUAUCUCAAAGCUAAUUGUAAAGUCUGCUUUGUGGCACUCAUCCAGUCCUUCAGCCACUACAGUAUCGUGGGACAGAAGCUGGGUGUCAGCCUGACCAUGGCACGGGAGCGUGGGCAGCUUGUGUUCCUUGAGGGACUCAAGUCUGCAGUGGACGUCGUCUUCCAGGCUCAAAAGGAGCCACACCCCCUGCAGUUUCUCAGGGAGGCUAAUGCUGGGAACUUGAAACCAUUGUUUGAGUUUGUACGGGAGGCCCUGAAGCCAAUAGACAGUGGAGAGGCUCGGUGGACGUACCCGGUGCUGCUGGUGGACGACCUCAGUGUGCUCCUGAGCCUGGGCAUGGGGGCGGUGGCUGUGCUAGACUUCAUUCACUACUGCAGAGCCACCGUGUGCUGGGAACUAAAGGUACUCAUGGAACUGCCUUCUCUGCGCCCACCUGUGACCUCCAAGAACUCAGACAGGUCCAGACCUCACUUGCUUGCUGUGAUCUUUUUAUUUGCUUGGGGUUUUGGCUUUACUCUGGCAGGC
rnacentral:sRNA from 1 species